rnacentral:tRNA from 1 species
GCCGGUAUAGCUCAGUGGAUAGAGUGUCAGCCUUCUGGACUGAAGGGUCCCAGGUUUGAUUCCAGCUAAGGGCA